rnacentral:rRNA from 1 species
ACGUAGGGUGCGAGCGUUAAUCGGAAUUACUGGGCGUAAAGAGUGCGUAGGCGGCUCGUUGUGUCUGUGGUGAAAGCCCCGGGCUUAACCUGGGAAUUGCCAUGGAAACUGGCGAGCCUGAGUCUGGCAGAGGGGGGUGGAAUUCCGCGUGUAGCAGUGAAAUGCGUAGGGAUGCGGAGGAACACCGAUGGCGAAGGCAGCCCCCUGGGCUGAGACUGACGCUCAGGCACGAAAGCGUGGGGAGCAAACAGGAUUAGAUACCCUGGUAGUCCACGCCCUAAACGAUGAGCACUGGGUGUUGGAGGAGCGAUCUUCUAGUACCGUAGCUAACGCGUGAAGUGCUCCGCCUGGGGAGUACGGCCGCAAGGUUA